GAUGAACGCUGGCGGCGUGCCUAAUACAUGCAAGUCGAGCGAACAGACGAGGAGCUUGCUCCUCUGACGUUAGCGGCGGACGGGUGAGUAACACGUGGAUAACCUACCUAUAAGACUGGGAUAACUUCGGGAAACCGGAGCUAAUACCGGAUAAUAUAUUGAACCGCAUGGUUCAAUAGUGAAAGACGGUUUUGCUGUCACUUAUAGAUGGAUCCGCGCCGCAUUAGCUAGUUGGUAAGGUAACGGCUUACCAAGGCAACGAUGCGUAGCCGACCUGAGAGACUGAUAGGCGACAUGGGAGCUGAGACGCGGUCCAGACUCCUGAGGGAGGCAGCAGUAGGGAACCUUACGCAAUGGGCGAAAGCCUGACGGAGCAACGCCGCGUGAGUGAUGAAGGUCUUCGGAUCGUAAAACUCUGUUAUUAGGGAAGAACAAAUGUGUAAGUAACUAUGCACGUCUUGACGGUACCUAAUCAGAAAGCCACGGCUAACUACGUG
rnacentral:rRNA from 1 species